UGUAUGGGGGAGAGGAGGGUUGGUGGGACCCCUGUCAAUGGGAGCCAUUAUGUCAUGGAAGCUUAACUUAGUUCCAAGUUAGCACACUCUGCCUGUUUCUUCCCUCAUUAAUCCUGACACUGGGGAAGGGUGAGUGUGCGGCAAAAUGAGGAGCUCCCUUCAUUUGGCUGCAGGAAUGAAUAUACAGGUAUAAACUAUAUGGGUGUAGAGGAAUUCUGCCCUUCCAUUCUGUUCUGUGUGCUGCUAUCUGGGUGAGUCUGCAGAGGGCUGGCUCAGGGGGUUCAUCUGACAGAAGAAGAAAUCUCUAUCCACAGGCAUAGCAGAAAGCAGGGCCACAAGCGGCCUUCUGUUGAUUUUGGUGUGGUGUGGCAAAGUCAGGAUCCCACGCUUGGUUGGUCCCUAGGCAUUACAAUAAUGAAGAUGGUUUAAAAGGUUGCUAUUAAAAGAUUGUUAUGGUUUAAA